rnacentral:rRNA from 1 species
GUCCACGCCGUAAACGAUGUCAACUAGCCGUUGGGUUCCUUGAGAACUUAGUGGCGCAGCUAACGCAUUAAGUUGACCGCCUGGGGAGUACGGCCGCAAGGUUAAAACUCAAAUGAAUUGACGGGGCCCGCACAAGCGGUGGAGCAUGUGGUUUAAUUCGAAGCAACGCGAAGAACCUUACCUGGCCUUGACAUGCUGAGAACUUUCUAGAGAUAGAUUGGUGCCUUCGGGAACUCAGACACAGGUGCUGCAUGGCUGUCGU